GACAGAGGGUGCAACCGUUGUUCGGAAUUACUGGGCGUAAAGCGCAUGUAGGCGGCCUAGCAGGUCGGAUGUGAAAUCCCUCGGCUCAACCAAGGAAGUGCAUUCGAAACCGCAAGGCUGGAGUCCCGGAGAGGAUGGUGGAAUUCUCGGCGUAGAGGUGAAAUUCGUAGAUAUCGAGAGGAACACCGGCGGCGAAGGCGGCCAUCUGGACGAGGACUGACGCUGAGAUGCGAAAGCGUGGGGAGCAAACAGG
rnacentral:rRNA from 1 species